rnacentral:misc_RNA from 1 species
GUGAAGAAGAUUGGCCACACAAAUAAUGUGUGUAUCAAAAUGUUAACUGGAUUGCUAUGAUAUGCACCGUAGAAGGCAAAGUGGGUCUCCAAAUCAAAGAUUCCUGCCUUCUUAGCCAUUGAGAUUUUCUCGAGAAAAAAAUUGCGAGGCUUUCCAGGGAAUUUACGAGAAAAAAAAAGAGAAGAGACUGGAAGACCUGUGACAGGAAAGGAAAAGAAAAGGAGUUGUUGAAGAAGAGAGAGCAGAGCUUAGGAGAACGCAACCACUAUUGCGAG